AUUGAACGCUGGCGGCAGGCCUAACACAUGCAAGUCGAACGGUAGCACAGAGAGCUUGCUCUCGGGUGACGAGUGGCGGACGGGUGAGUAAUGUCUGGGAAACUGCCUGAUGGAGGGGGAUAACUACUGGAAACGGUAGCUAAUACCGCAUAAUGUCGCAAGACCAAAGAGGGGGACCGUCGGGCCUCUUGCCAUCGGAUGUGCCCAGAUGGGAUUAGCUAGUAGGUGGGGUAAUGGCUCACCUAGGCGACGAUCCCUAGCUGGUCUGAGAGGAUGACCAGCCACACUGGAACUGAGACACGGUCCAGACUCCUACGGGAGGCAGCAGUGGGGAAUAUUGCACAAUGGGCGCGAGCCUGAUGCAGCCAUGCCGCGUGUAGGAAGAAGGCCUUCGGGUUGUAAAGUACUUUCAGCGAGGAGGAAGGCAUUGUGGUUAAUAACCGCAGUGAUUGACGUUACUCGCAGAAGAAGCACCGGCUAACUCCGUGCCAGCAGCCGCCGUAA
rnacentral:rRNA from 1 species